UACGUAGGGUGCAAGCGUUGUCCGGAAUUAUUGGGCGUAAAGAGCUCGUAGGCGGUUUGUCGCGUCGGCUGUGAAAGCCCGGAGCUCAACUCCGGGUCUGCAGUCGAUACGGGCAGACUUGAGUGUUGCAGGGGAGACUGGAAUUCCUGGUGUAGCGGUGAAAUGCGCAGAUAUCAGGAGGAACACCGGUGGCGAAGGCGGGUCUCUGGGCAACAACUGACGCUGAGGAGCGAAAGCGUGGGGAGCGAACA
rnacentral:rRNA from 1 species